rnacentral:rRNA from 1 species
CUUGAUAUAAUAUAAGAGGUCCGCCUGCCCUGUGAUAUUAUUUAACGGCCGCGGUAUCCUGACCGUGCAAAGGUAGCGUAAUCACUUGUCUUUUAAUUGAAGACCUGUAUGAAAGGCAUCACGAGAGUUUAUCUGUCUCUAUUUUCCAAUCAAUGAAAUUGACCUUCUCGUGCAGAGACGAGAAUUUUAAUAUAGGACGAGAAGACCCUAUGGAGCUUUAAAUAACCAAAUUAAUAAUUUUUCACUUAAAAACUACGGACUUAAACACCAAUUAAUUAAAAUAAUUUGAUAUUUUCGGUUGGGGCGACCAAGGGGUAAAAUAAAACCCCCUCAUCGAUUAAGUAUUUAAUACUUAAAAAAUAGAGUUACAACUCUAAUUUACAGAAUAUCUGACGAACUAUGACCCAAGAAUUACCUUGAUCAAUGAACCCAGUUACCCUAGGGAUAACAGCGCAAUCCUUUCUAAAAGUUCCUAUCGCCGAAAGGGUUUACGACCUCGAUGUUGGAUCAGGACAUCCUAAUGGUGUAACCGCUAUUAAGGGUUCGUUUGUUCAACGAUUAAUAGUCCUACGUGAUCUGA